rnacentral:rRNA from 1 species
AAAUGAAUAGACGGGGACUCGCACAAGCGGUGGAGCAUGCGGUUUAAUUCGAUGCAACGCGAAGAACCUUACCAGGUCUUGACAUCCCGCUGACAGCCCUAGAGAUAGGGUCUUCCUUCGGGACAGCGGAGACAGGUGGUGCAUGGUUGUCGUCAGCUCGUGUCGUGAGAUGUUGGGUUAAGUCCCGCAACGAGCGCAACCCUUAUCAUUAGUUGCUACCAUUAAGUUGAGCACUCUAAUGAGACCGCCGGUGACAAACCGGAUGAAGGUGGGGAUGACGUCAAAUCAUCAUGCCCCUUAUGACCUGGGCUACACGCGUGCUACAAUGGCCAGUACAAAGAGUUGCAAAACCGUGAGGUCAAGCUAAUCUCAUAAAACUGGUCUCAGUUCGGAUUGUAGUCUGCAACUCGACUACAUGAAGUUGGAAUCGCUAGUAAUCGCGAAUCAGAAUGUCGCGGUGAAUACGUUCUCGAGUCUUGUACACACCGCCCGU